rnacentral:rRNA from 1 species
GAUCCUGGCUCAGGACGAACGCUGGCGGCGUGCCUAACACAUGCAAGUCGAACGGGGUUGUACGAGGUGCUUGCACCAUGUGCAACCUAGUGGCGGACGGGUGAGUAACGCGUGAGCAACCUGCCUUUCAGAGGGGGAUAACGAACGGGAAACCGUUGCUAAUACCGCAUAAUACCGGAUGAUGGCAUCAUUGACCGGUCAAAGGAGCAAAUCCGCUGAAAGAUGGGCUCGCGUCCCAUUAGG